AAUGAGGUGGCUGAGAAAAUUAGGCGUUAGAUUGUAAAUCUAAAGACGAGAAAAUCUCCUUCAUUA
rnacentral:tRNA from 1 species